rnacentral:rRNA from 1 species
CUGCCUGCCCAGUGACCAAAAGUUAAACGGCCGCGGUAUCUUGACCGUGCGAAGGUAGCAUAAUCACUUGUCUCCUAAAUAGAGACUGGUAUGAAUGGCAAGACGGAACUUUACUGUCUCUUUCUCUUUAAUUUGAAUUUUACAAUCCCGUGAAGAGGCGGGAAUUAUAUCGUAAGACGAGAAGACCCUGUCGAGCUGAAGUAUAAACUUGGCUUUUAUUUGUCCUUAACGCCGCCUAAUAAAUAUAAAUAGCAAAGAAGUAGGGCGUAAAAGACCAAGUGGCACUUUGAUUGGGGCAAUCACGGAGAAAGAAAAUCCUCCGUUACUUAACUGUUUACAAUGUACAACUUAACUUAGAAGAGCUAUCGCUCUAGAAUCGCGAAACGAAGGUACGAUCCACUCAUAGUGAUCAAAAGAACAAGUUACCGCAGGGAUAACAGCGUCAUCUUUUCUGAGAGUUCAUAUUGACGAAAAGGUUUGCGACCUCGAUGUUGGAUCGGGACAUCCUAAGGGUGCAGAAGCUUUUAAGGGUUGGUCUGUUCGACCAUUAAAGUCCUACGUGAU